UACGUAGGCGGAAAAUUAAGUCAGUGGUGAAAUCCUGCAGCUUAACUGUAGAACUGUCAUUGAUACUGGUUUUCUUGAAUAUAGUUGAGGUAGGCGGAAUGUGUAAUGUAGCGGUGAAAUGCUUAGAUAUUACACAGAACACCGAUUGCGAAGGCAGCUUACUAAGCUAUGAUUGACGCUGAGGUACGAAAGCGUGGGGAGCGAACAGGAUUAGAUACCCUGGUAGUAC
rnacentral:rRNA from 1 species